rnacentral:misc_RNA from 1 species
GUGAAUCAUCAAAUCUUUGAACGCAAAUUGCACUCUCUGGUAUUCCGGAGAGUAUGCCUGUUUGAGGGUCAGUAAAAUUGAAAAUCGGUGUGGUUGCUGCCUUUCGUGGUGAGGCACUGGAUUUGGGUCGUCUUGUCUUCGUUUAAGUGGCCUCAAAUUUUGCAUGUUGUUUUUCUAAAGGUUUCUAAUGAUUUUACGUUCGUUUGCGUUAUCGAAUGCU